GGUAGUGAUGCUGUGUCUUCCGAUCUGACUAGCAUAUUUAUAAAGCGUGAAAAUGUGGACUGCAUCGCCGACAUCAUUCUGGAGCUGUCCGGUUUGUUGGCCACUGCUAACGAUGGGUUACCGCAGCGCUGUUGUACCGUUUGUCAAGCCGAUCUUAUGACGGCCAUCAACGUUCGUCGCCGAUGUCUGGAAAUGGACAAGAAAUUCCGUAUCUCACGGCCAAGCGUUCCAUCCUGUGAUACAUCACAAGCUCCCGAUGCUUCGCUGUGCUUAGAAAAUAAUUUACAUAAAGCUGCAGUGGCACUGCAGGAUGAUCUCGAUACUGCCCAUGAAUCCUACGGGGUCGGAAAAAGGACAAGGCAC